rnacentral:lncRNA from 1 species
GGCCAUUGAUCGUCGACCAGAGGCUCAUACACCUCACCCCACAUAUGUUUCCUUGCCAUAGAUGACAUUCUUGGAUUUCUGGUGGAGACCAUUUCUUGGUCAAAAAUCCGUAGGUGUUAGCCUUCGAUAUUAUUGAAAAUGGUCGUUCAUGGCUACUUUCGACAAAAAUGGGGGUUGUGUGGCCAUUGAUCAUCGACCAGAGGCUCAUACACCUCACCCCACAUAUGUUUCCUUGCCAUAGAUCACAUUCUUGGAUUUUGGUGGAGACCAUUUCUUGGUCAAAAAUCGUAGGUGUUAGCCUUCGUAUUAUUGAAAAUGGUCUUCAUGGCUAUUUUCGCAAAAUGGGGGUUGUGUGGCCAUUGAUCAUCGACCAGAGGCUCAUACACCUCACCCCACAUAUGUUUCCUUGCCAUAGAUCACAUUCUUGGAUUUCUGGUGGAGACCAUUUCUUGGUCAAAAAUCCGUAGGUGUUAGCCUUCGGUAUUAUUGAAAAUGGUCGUUCAUGGCUAUUUUCGACAAAAAUGGGGGUUGUGUGGCCAUUGAUCAUCGACCAGAGCUCAUACACCUCACCCCACAUAUGUUUCCUUGCCAUAGAUCACAUUCUUGGAUUUCUGGUGGAGACCAUUUCUUGGUCAAAAAUCCGUAGGUGUUAGCCUUAGUAUUAUUGAAAAUGGUCGUCAUGGCUAUUUUCGGACAAAAAUGGGGGUUGUGUGGCCAUUGAUCAUCGACCAGAGGCUCAUACACCUCACCCCACAUAUGUUUCCUUGCCAUAGAUCACAUUCUUGGAUUUCUGGUGGAGACCAUUUCUUGGUCAAAAAUCCGUAGUGUUAGCCUUCGGUAUUAUUGAAAAUGGUCAUUCAUGGCUAUUUUCGCAAAAUGGGGGUUGUGUGGCCAUUGAUCUCGACCAGAGGCUCAUACACCUCACCCCACAUAUGUUUCCUUGCCAUAGAUCACAUUCUUGGAUUUCUGGUGGAGACCAUUUCUUGGUCAAAAAUCCGUAGGUGUUAGCCUUCGUAUUAUUGAAAAUGGUCUUCAUGGCUAUUUUCGGACAAAAUGGGGGUUGUGUGGCCAUUGAUCGUCGACCAGAGGCUCAUACACCUCACCCCACAUAUGUUUCCUUGCCAUAGAUCACAUUCUUGGAUUUCUGGUGGAGACCAUUUCUUGGUCAAAAAUCCGUAGGUGUUAGCCUUCGUAUUAUUGAAAAUGGUCGUUCAUGGCUAUUUUCGACAAAAAUGGGGGUUGUGUGGCCAUUGAUCAUUGACUAGAGGCUCAUACACCUCACCCCACAUAUGUUUCCUUGCCAUAGAUCACAUUCUUGGAUUUCUGGUGGAGACCAUUUCUUGGUCAAAAAUCCGUAGGUGUUAGCCUUCGGUAUUAUUGAAAAUGGUCGUUCAUGGCUAUUUUCGACAAAAAUGGGGGUUGUGUGGCCAUUGAUCGUCGACCAGAGGCUCAUACACCUCACCCCACAUAUGUUUCCUUGCCAUAGAUCACAUUCUUGGAUUUCUGGUGGAGACCAUUUCUUGGUCAAAAAUCGUAGGUGUUAGCCUUCGUAUUAUUGAAAAUGGUCGUUCAUGGCUAUUUUUGACAAAAAUGGGGGUUGUGUGGCCAUUGAUCGUCGACCAGAGGCUCAUACACCUCACCCCACAUAUGUUUCCUUGCCAUAGAUCACAUUCUUGGAUUUCUGGUGGAGACCAUUUCUUGGUCAAAAAUCCGUAGGUGUUAGCCUUCGGUAUUAUUG